GUCCUAUGUUCAAAAGUUUGCUGGUGUGUAUCUUUGUUGGCUCGACAUGUUUUUAAUUUAUGAUUGUUGUUGGUGGAGAGAGCGGAAGAUGCCGGGGACAGUUUGGAGAAGAUCAAGCGGCAGCUGGCCUCUGGGUCUGGUCGGAAUUUGUUGCAGGGUCCCCUUCUAAAGCGAUCUGAAACAUUGAGGAAAUGGAAUGAGCGAUGGGUAGUUUUGGACCCAACAACAGGGAAAAUGGAGUAACCAUACGUCCCAUUUACACUGUUUUUGGUCCUUCCUUGCUUGGUUCAAUGUAGUAAUAUGUUGGUGGAAACAGCUCAUUUCUAAUGCUGCUGCCGAUGGUGAUGGGGUCAAUGGACCUCUGCCAAGAGUGUUCAUAUCACAAAUUGUUGUGGAUUAGUUGAGUAAAUAAACUCAGUACAUAAUCAGAAGAUACACUGAAUGUUCUUGCAUUGGGAAGAAGCAUGCUGCUUUGGCUGGUUCCUUCACAUCAGAAGACCUGUGCUACCACGUUUACUUCCAAUUUCAAGAGUGCCUUGAUCCUUUGAUUUACUUCCAAUUUUUGGAGGCUGGUUUCAGCACAGGUGUGGUUUCCUUUUUAUCAUCAUCACCUGACAAUCUUUUCACGUUUUUUCCAGAAAUAGAUUUAGCUGAUCCCUUCUUUCUCUUGACCUCUGAUUGUUUUAAAGAACUCCCCCCACUCUUGCUGGUU